CGAGAGAUUCGGACACCUCCUCAUCCUGAGUUAACUUGUCUUGGGAUCGAUCCUUCACGUGACGGAGAGUUCUGGGAGAAUAACAAACACGCGAUUUAAAGCUAUCCAGGGGACAAAUCUGUGCCUGUAGGAUUUCCAUCGGACCUCAAAAGCUUUAAAAAGAGCUUUAAUCAUAUUUCUUGUUUACAUCAGAGUACAUGUGCAGUAGCUUUCAAGCAGCUUUAGCUCGUCUCGUGUUGCUGCACUAGUGAGGUCCGAAUCGAUUCACCAAUGAGUCGUUCAUUGAUGAUUCAGUUGAACCGAUUCACAAAGCGCCUGUAAAUUGCUAGACUCUUAUGGAGUCUGGAGAACACUUCAUUCAUACAUAAUCAGUAUCAAGUAUUUAAGAAUAUGGCGAUAAGCCGUGGUAUUUCUUCUCUGAAAUAAGAAAAAUACUACCCCGGCCCCGGGACUUCUCUGAAAUGGUUCACUGAAACGAA